GUUGGACUCAGUAAAUGGCUGUGCAUAUGUCCAGCAUCAAAUCACAAUGAUAUUGCCUCUCCUUACGCAUAACUGCCCCUCAAGGUGCUAUUGUUAUGUGAUUGGUAAUAUGGCAUACUUCUGAAGCCUGCUGAGACCUGAAGAAAAUUCUAGGUCUCUCCUCACCUUUGAGAAAUAUAAAACCCUAAUAAAUCAAAAUUCAGGAAAAAUGGGACUGAUCCUCUACAUUUUGACAUAAAAGGUAGCUGUGCAUUGUGUAAUGGACGUGUAGGCUAACUAUACCCCAUAAGGUGUUGAUGCUGGAAACAGGGAGGCAACAGCCCGGCUGACUCUAUCUUGAGGCUGAUCAGGAUCUGAGCUUGUGAGGAUGGAGGUGUUCCCUGGGACUGGAAAAUGCCGUCAGGUCAAGUCUGACUCAGGCUCAGAGACUGAAUGCUUACAAGUGCAGAGACUGAAUGCUUAUGGGGCAAUAAAACCUGGGGAAAAAAAGCAGUGAGGAAGUCACAUACCAAGAUAUGACUAAGUAAAGGUUUGCGGCAGAAGCAAGGUGGCAAGGCUGUGAAUAACUGGCUCACCACUCAGGCCCGUGCAAGCAGCAGCAGGAAGAUGACUUCAUCUCCUCCUCCCCUAUGCCAGUGACCUGCAGCUCUGGAUUGCAUAUAGCAGCUGCUAAUGCUGGAGGAGCUGCCUGUCCCAGUGGCAACAGUGGCAACAGCAGCAGCUAGGGCAGACUUCCCAGGCUCUACCCUCUUUCUCUGACAUUCAUCAGAUAACAAAGAAGGUCACCCUCCUUGGCGUAGUUCACCUCCAAAUAGGAAACAAUCACUGAUUUUAUAGCAGAACUCGUGAUCAGUUUGUAGCAAAAUGUGAGAUGCAGAGCAAAACCUUUAAACCCAUUUUAAAAAUACUUUUACCAUUCCCUUUUAUAGUAUCAUCACUCAUGGCUUAAGCAGUAAGAAAAUAGAAGGCUCACAACUUUAGCUGUCUGAAACAAGAAACGGGGAACAAGAAAAAAGAUCAAACAUUCCUUUUCAGCCGUCAUUCGAGCAAGCCUCAUGGUCUGCCUGCCUUGCGUAUUUGAGCCACACAGGGCUGAUUCAGCAGAAAGCUAGCACAAUGUGCAUGACAUAUCCUCAGCCACAGAAACACGUGAAAAUGCCCUUUAGCACCAGGGGAGAGAUUUCAUGGAACUGCUGAUGGUUUGAGGUGGGAAGGGGCCUCCGGAGGCCACCAUGUCCAAGCUCCCUGCUCAAGCAGGGACACCUGGAGCUGCUUGCCCAGGACCAUGUCCAGACAGCUUUUGAAGAUCUUCAAGGAGGAGGCUCCACAACCUCUCUGGGCAGCCUGUGCCAAUGCUUUGUCACCUGCACAGUGAAAAAGUGUUUCCUGAUGUUCAGAGGAACCUUCUUUGCUCCACUUUGUGCCCAUUGCCUCUUGUCCUGGCACUGGGCACCACUGACAAGAGCCUGGCUCCAUCCUCUUUGCACCCUCCUUUCAAGUAUUUACAGAUAUUGAUGAGAUCCCCUUGGAGG